UCCUGCCCCAAUAGGCCUCUAUUAGCGUUUGUCACAGUUCCCAUUUUUGACCACUAAGAACAAUAAUAACUA